CCCUUAGAUGUCCUGGGCCGCACGCGUGCUACACUGAUGCAUACAGCGAGUACUUUCCAGCUCCGCGAGGCAGCUGGUAAUCAGCAAUAUGCAUCGUGCUGGGGAUAGAUCUUUGGAAUUAUAGAUCUUGAACGAGGAAUUCCUAGUAAGCGCAAGUCAUUAGCUUGCGCUGAUUAAGUCCCUGCCCUUUGUACACACCGCCCGUCGCUCCUACCGAUUUCGAGUGAUUCGGUGAACCUUUUGGACAGCGUCUGUCCUCGUGUCAGAUGCUGAAAGUCAAGUAAACCAUAUCGCUUAGAGGAAGGAGAAGUCGUAACA
rnacentral:rRNA from 1 species